rnacentral:rRNA from 1 species
UACGGAGGGUGCAAGCGUUAUCCGGAAUCAUUGGGUUUAAAGGGUCCGCAGGCGGAUUUAUAAGUCAGUGGUGAAAGCCUAUUGCUCAACAAUAGAACUGCCAUUGAUACUGUAAGUCUUGAAUUCGGUCGAAGUGGGCGGAAUAUGACAUGUAGCGGUGAAAUGCUUAGAUAUGUCAUAGAACACCGAAAGCGAAGGCAGCUCACUAGGCCUGGAUUGACGCUCAGGGACGAAAGCGUGGGGAGCAAACAGG